rnacentral:rRNA from 1 species
GACGAACGCUGGCGGCGUGCUUAACACAUGCAAGUCGAGCGGGGACAUUGGAGAGCUUGCUCAAAGAUGUUCUAGCGGCGGACGGGUGAGUAACGCGUGAGCAACCUUUCUCUCAGUGGGGAAUAACACAGGGAAACUUGUACUAAUACCGCAUGAGACCACGGGAUCGCAUGGUUUAGGGGUCAAAGAUUUAUCGCUGAGAGGUGGGCUCGCGUCCGAUUAGGUAGUUGGUGAGGUAACGGCCCACCAAGCCGACGAUCGGUAGCCGACCUGAGAGGGUGAUCGGCCACAUUGGGACUGAGACACGGCCCAA